rnacentral:lncRNA from 1 species
UUUCAUUUUCAAUUUUUCAUUUCAAUUAUUUACCCUAUUAACAAGCUUCGGACUCUGACAGAUACGCGGAUUCCACCCAAACACACCAGAAUAUCCAACCUAAACACAACCGGAAUAAUAUAAAUCCUCCAUAACACACCAGUAUAUCAUAUCCUCCCAAACACACCAAUAAGGCAUUAGAUGCAUCUUCGGAUAAACCGAAGCAUAUAAUAACAGAAUCAUCUUCUCGGCCGAACUACAAAUCUCCUCAUCAUAUCAUAAAUCCUAUGGCAUGCCAUUUGUAUCCAAUCUAGUCCGAUAAGUUAAUAGGGUAUUAUUUUACUUUUCUAAUUUCGAAUUCAUUUUCACAACAAUUUCAAAUAUUCAAACAAUUCAAAACAUCUAUUAUUUCAAUUCACAUAUAAUUCAAUAUUCACACAUAUUAUUACUUAAUUUCAAAUGUUAUUACUUACCUUACUUUAAAUGUCCCAUGAUUACAAUUUCAAUGUAGCAUUUAGUAAAUAGUUUAAGUUAUAGUAAUACAAAUCCGGAAUACGCGUUUACUCCUCAACGAUCUUUUCUUUUCCUUUAGAUGCCGACGCCUCAUUUUCCUUGUUAGCUACGAAAAUAGUAAAAUUUUUCACUAUUAAUUACAACAUUAAAAAAAAUUUAAAUUUUAUUCAAUUCCUACUUAUUCCCAAUUUAAUUCUAACCAAGCUUACUUACUUUUCUAACUUAAUUCAUACUUCUUUUCUACUUAAUUUCUUGCCAUAUUUAACUCAAUUAUUCAAUAUUCAUAAUUAAACCCUAAUUUAAGACUUUUUAUAACUUAAUCCCAACUAUGUAAAACUUAUAACUUAGUUUACAAUUCAAUCUUUUUAUCUAUUCUAACUAGAAAUUCUAUCAACUAAACCCCUAAUUUAACAACUUAUUCAAAAUGAAUCGUGUUCAAAAACCUAUGAACUUCCAUAACCUCCACUUAAUUUCAACAAAACUUUGUUUUAAAGCUUCUAAAACAUCAAAAUUAAGAGAAAAUGGCUAAAUUUAGCUUACCAAUUAAACUUGAAGCUUUAAAAUCCCAAUUUUCCCCUUUUCCUUUCUUUCCCUUUUUUUCUUCCGCUGUUUUCGUCUUUUUCUCUGUUUCUUUUCUGUUCUUCUUUUGUUUCUUUGUCUUUUUAUUUUACUUACUUUACUUUAUUUAUUUUAUUUUAACUAAUAACAAUAAUAAUUAAUAAUAUAUUAUAUAAAAAAAUAUUUUACUUAUUAUUUAAGCAUACAUUUAUUUUUAUUUUAAGUGUACCUAUAUAAUUAUUACUAUUACACUUGUCUUUAAUCUUUACCAUACAUUUGUCAUCUAUUUAGUUUAUUUAAUAUAAUAUAAUUAUUACUAUUACAGUUAUGCCGCCCCAUUUAUUUUUAAUGGCUUAAUUGUCAUUUUAGUCCUUUUUAUUUUCUAUUAAUCUAUAAUUCAACUUUUACCCCUAGUUCAAUUUAGUCUUUUUUCCUAAUUUAUCUUAAUUAAACUAAAUUCACCCAAUUAAUACCUAAUUAAGCACUCAACUAAACUCAUAAUGACUUCAAAUAAUUUUUUUUUAUGACUCAGUUUACUAAGACGGAUGCCCGAUAAAGUACUUUUUCUAAUGUUUGUGAAUUUUGGAUCAUUACAAUAGUGGUAAAACUCUUCUCAGAUCAAAUCAUGACCAAAUACAUAAAAUUUGUCAAUAUACUUGCAAAUAUAUUGUUAUUAAUAUUUAUUACUUUAUUUAUUAUCCCGGUUAAGAUUGAUCUUAGACCGUAAAACGGUUGAGAACACUUACAAUUAUACUAUAAAAAUUAAAUAUUUUGAUAUUUGACUUAAAUAUUAUUUGAAGUUUAAUUGCCUAUAUUUGUUUUUAAUUAAUUUUAAAGUAAAAUAUUAUGUGAAGCUUAAUUGCUUUCCUCAAUGCCAAUGUCUUAAUCACCUUAUCUCUUCUAUGCCCACAAAAAAAGAAAAAAAGAAAAAAAAUAUCAUUUAUCUCCACUUAUUUAAAUUACUUAUCUCCUUUGUAUCUGCUUAUCUCUCCAUCUCUCUCCCUUCCUCUCUCACAAAAUCAAGAAUGGCCGAAGAAACACAGCCAAAAUGGAAAGGGAAGGCCAUGGCAGUGCUGAAACGCUCAACCCCAGAUCAGAUAUGGCCAUUCUUAGAGGAAUUCUGCAACUUAGACAGGUUGUUUCCUGACAUCCAUACCUGUUAUAGAGUGGAGGGAAGCCCAGGGCAGCCUGGCUUGGUCCGUCACUGUGUAGGCAAGUUUGGAUGGGUCAACGAGAAGCUUUUAACCAUUGAUCCCACCAACUGGUCCUUAAGCUACCAGGUC